CCCUGGUAGAUGGAAUCUGCCCCUUGACCAGCAGCACUGUCCAGAGACAGUGGUUGAUGCUGGAUAGAUGACUUUUCCUCAGCCCAUCAUUACCUGCUGGAGUGCUGGUAGAGGCUGAACGCUUUAAUAAAUAUAACUGUGGUCUUGCUGAAAUGUAGUAAUCCAUGGGAAUUUUCCAAAGAAGAUUCAAGAGAACUUUCUGGACCUCAAGAGAUGUUGACACCCUGCUGAUGGAGCAGAAGCAGAAAGCAGUUCUCUUACCAUCAGAUCUGAUCCAUUUUUGGAGAUAGCCUUUUGUAUGGAGCUGGGUAGCGGUUACUGGAGACGUGCUGUUGAUUGAUGAGGAUAAUUUUCCCGAGACUCUGACAUAUUGCAGGACUUGGAUAGCUCUACUGCUGUUCAAAAUGCCAG